AACGUAGGAGGCGAGCGUUAUCCGGAUUUACUGGGUGUAAAGCGCGUGCAGGCGGUUCUGCAAGUGGGACGUGAAAGCGCCCGGCUCAACCGGGCGAGGCCGUUCCGAACUGCGGGACUGGAGGCAGGUAGAGGCGUGUGGAAUUCCGGGUGUAGUGGUGAAAUGCGUAGAGAUCCGGAGGAACACCAGAGGCGAAGGCGGCACCCUAAGCCGUACCUGACGCUGAGACGCGACAGCACGGGGAGCGAAC
rnacentral:rRNA from 1 species